AAAACAAAAACAAAUGAACAAACAUUAACAAACAAACAAGAAAAAACCCACCCAAAAUACUGCAGAUGUGAAGUCCGUCUAGAUCAGAAGCAGCAUCACGCAACCAGUUGAGGUUGGAACACACCAGUAAGUGGCCUGGCUGCUGCUGGAGCGAGUGGAGAGGAAGGAAGUGGAGGGAGGGCCUCAAAGACCUAGGAGCUGAGUAUAACUACACUACGUAAGCCAGAUAUUUUCUCAGCAUACUGCCUGGAGAACAAAGCAGGGGUUAAAAAUGAAACCUUAUGUUUUACAAAAUUGAUACAGACCACACAACAAACUUAGCAAUAGAAAGUUCAGCUUAAUAAUCUGUGGAUGAUUACAGAGAAUUUGUCAACAUAACAAGUGAGCCAACAGUUCAAAACCAUUAUGUGCAUAAAUGCUUUAAAGAAUGAAGAGAAAUGAAUCUCAAAUGCCAAACCACUGGGAAUUCUGUAGACAGCAUUGUCCUAGUCACAAUCUUCUGUAAGGAAUCUUUAUUGCAGUUUAGAAAUGGUAGCACAGAACAUUAUUUUGUAAAGAAAAAAAAUAGGAGAAAAUGUAUAGCUGCAGUUGGUGAGAGCUGAGGACAUAUUAAUGGCAAAGUGCAACACGACUGAACAAGGACAGGAAUUGCAGGGACAGUGGUGCGUUACUGAAGGUGUACUUAGACAUUGCUGAAUUCAGGGUAAUCAGAGAGAUGGACCUUUGGUCUGACUUCUCAGUGGAAGUUGUAAGUCAUCUGCUUUGAAACGUGAAAUGAAACUUUUCCUGUAAACUUCUGCAUCAUCAGGCUGUGUACUUGGUUGCCCAGAGGAACUCUUCAGCAGUAUACCACGUUCAGCAGUAUAGCAGAUGCUUUUAAACUGGAAAAUGAAAUGACAUUAUGAAAGCUGAAGCGCAAUACAAGUCAUGGGUUCUAAUUACUGAGGUUUGUUUUUUCUUGUCUUCUUUGCAUGCCAGACACCAUGAACUGUACACAAUUUUAAGUUUGGGGUAGCAGUGGAAUUUAUCUAUUCUGUAAUCAAGUCGUGACAUUAUCACUCUGUGGUUUGCUCAUUUGCCACUAUUUCUGUUGUUCCAGCCACUAUCAUCGUUUCAAGAAUGUAUGGUUUAGCAUGUAUGCUUUGAAGUCAUUAGCAGAUAUGAAAAUACAUAUUUGAACAUGCAACUGCUGUGUUGCACAAGUAUGAACUUCCUCUCAUUUGAACUGUGGUGCAGCUCCAAAAUGUUCAUUUUAACGAGGUUUCACUGUAAACAGAACAUACGCUGUAAAUUUAUCUGUAUUAAUUUAAAAAGCAUGACAAAUGUAUUUGUAAUCUUUCACAAACUGAGCCAGAUCAAUUAAUGGAUCUAAUUGAGUAAAUCUGAAAAGAUGUAGGAUGAUCAACCUCAAAAGCAGGUAUCUGACAAUAUUUCUGAGGAAAAAAAAGAGGGCAGAAAAAUGAGUAGAGAAUAAAAUAAAGUAUUUAACACCCCCCUAAAUGUAUGGCAAGGAAAAAAAUCCAUGUCAAAUUAAUAGGCACAUGCUGGUUAAAAAGAAACAAAUUCCUCCCUGUGUCAAUACAUCUACUGUAGUUUGCCAUUAAACACUUUCAUAAUUCCUUUCUUUCUUCACUAGAUGCAACAUAUUUGACUGAAAAGUAGUUGCAAUAAUGUGAAGUUUUCUGGAAAGCCAUGAAUACCUUAUGUGAGUGGGAAUAUGUUCAGUUGCCUGUUGCUCCACAGCCAUUAAUCUGAUGAAUAAAGAGUUUGCACAUGGGUUCACUCAGAGAGUUAACAUCUGAUUUUACAUGGAAAUAUUUGAAAGAAAAAGUACAGCAUUGCCUGAAGCCUGUUAGAGAGACUUUGGAGAUUUAUUUAAUGCAGUUUCUUGCUUUCAUUCCCGUUGUCUACUAAGAAAAGUAUGCUGUUUUGAAAUAUAGAAUGAAAUAAGGGGAAACAAGUCAAACAAUGUUUCAAGCAGAGGAAAAAAAAAAUGUCCCUUGCCUCAAACACAUAUAAAACCUGUUUUCAGUGUUCAACUUUUGCUAUACUACUUCAUUGCUAUCAACAUUAAACCAGAUGAUUUCUAACCCCUACACUGAUUUAUUUAAGAUGAAAUAAAGGGAUGGGAAUUACCAUAAUUUAUCAAUAUGAAACAUCCUUUUUUUUAUCUAGGAUAAUCACAUCAAUAAUUCAGUUUAAAAUAAUUUUUAAAAGAUAUUUACUACUUAUAUUUUCCCCAUGGAGAUAAAUGAUUGUUGCAGGAGCUACCAGUAAGCUGAAUGUCAGAAGUUACUAAGUGAAACUGAGUAACAGCCUGAACAAGGAUUUAGAAUGAUUUUGGUUUCCUGGUGGGUUCAGGAAGUCUUCAGUCAUAAACUGUGUGUCUCUCUGUGUUGCUUUUCUCACUAAUUUUGAAUUUAUUGGCUAGUGGAUGUUGAGGGUGUAAAAGAGGAGAAGAAAUAGGUGGGACAGCUGUAUUGGCUGGUGGAAUAUGCUGGAUAAUCUCUUAUGAGUGAGGUUGUAGGUACACAGCUUCUGACAGUUGCUCUGCCUUUUCCUUAUUGCAGUGUACUGUAUGUGGAUGAUUAGAAUAAUGCUUGAUUGGGCUUGUCCUUGCUUCUUCCUGUACUGUUUUUAAGGACAUUAAAGAGAUACUUGAUUGAUGCAAAAUCUCAUGAAACCAGAAGUUGCAUUGUUUGAACAAAGUAUAUAUCAAACUAUAUUCCAUAUUGGGUUCAUGUUGUCUACUUGGUUUGAAGAACAAAAUAGUUGUGCUGCUUUCAAACAGUUGUGUUCAGCAAAUUGCUCUCUCCCUCAAGUAUUUUACAAUUAAUUUAGAUAUUUAUUUUGAUUUAGUAAAUUGUCUCAAGCUUGUGUUGAGAGAAAAAAAGCUGCAUGCAGUCAUUUGUUCUGUCUUAUCUCUUUGGUCUGAGAUCUGAAACUUCUGAGUGAAUUCAAUUCCUUAAUUAUUGUACGUACAGUUUUCUUCAUGUGUUCUUUGUUGCUGGUUUGAUGGGGGUUUUCUGAGUGAAAUUUGCUGACUUGUACAGAUUUGUCUAAUUGCAGGCAGUUGUCAACUAUAUCUAAAUGGCAGCUGGGUGUCCUUAGAAGAUAAACACAGAGCAGUGUUCAGUUGCUUAUGUGGUGUUGCCUGUAGAGACCAACUGUCCCACGUGUCUGCAGAUAAAGUCAGGACUCUUUAGAGCUGGUUCAUGACCCAAGAAAGAGAGCCAAAAGCAAGACAGUAGGGAAGUUUUCUUCUUUGCUUUUAGUCGCUCCUAUAGACAGCAAAUACUGACUCAGCACAUAAUCCUCAGCUGCUUCAGAAACUGCUUGGAAUGUUUGGCUGUGACUUGUCAGCUAAGCAGCUUCCAUAAGAAGGCUUCUUUUUCUUGCCAGACCUUCAUGUAUUGGAACAAAGCUUGUUUCAGAGCAGGUUUUGUCUUCAUUUAGCUUGGUUAUUAACUUAGGGAGGUUAUGAAAAGAUACAGAGGCUCUUCAAAAAUGGGGUUUGUUGGCCUGCUGAAGGGUAAGAAAUAAAUCCACAAUGAAAAAGAAUAAAAUAAAACUGUGAAACAAAACGUUGGUGGGGGAAAGAUCUUUAGCUCUGAGCUGCAGUCAUGUGCUAUAGUGCAAUCUCUUAUAGCAUAAUAUUUCCAGAAUCCAGCUUUUCCAAAUGGGUUACUGUUGCGUUGAGAUGAAAUUAUUCUUAUUUGGUUUCAAACCCUAGUAUCAGAGAGAUACAAUAGGAAGGAAUAUUCAGAUUGUGGUUUUCAAAAGGGAUGUUGACACCCAUCAGUUGCUUGUGCGAGCUUUCAUUUGCACUUCCUUGAUUCAUAAAAGAAAACAUUCUGUUCACAGAUUUUAUCCUGUUCUGUUAUUAAAUUGAAUUGAUUUCAACUUGGCCUUGCAGAAUUUGAAUGCUCCUGAAUGGCUACAAAUCAUGUAUUUAAAGAGCAUUUUGAGGUGUAGAAGCUGCAGAUAUGCGAUUCAGUCUGUGAGCACCAGGCACCCAGAGAUAUGCUGCCCAGUUAGAUCAGAUUUCUUUAUAGCUGUGAUCCAAGCCAUGAAGUGAGAACUCAAAAUGUGAGUUGGAAUUUGACAUAGGUUUUCCAUGUUUUGGAACAGUCAGUCAGAAGAAUGAACACCCAUUUGUGAGGAAAGUGGAAACUGAGUGAAAAAUAAAGCAGAGAGGCAUAAAAAUUCCUCAACCUGGCCUCCCGUUCAACUAAAGGAAAUAGUCACAGUACUGAGUACUUGGAAAUUUUCAAGGUACGCAGGAUUAAAGGGAACACCUGAUUUCCACAUCUGUUUCUUUUCAAAUGGAAAAGAAGUGGAGGUAUUGCAGAAAGGUAUUGCCCUGCUGGAACCUGAGCGAGAUGUGAUGCGUUAACUACCGUAUGUUCACACCCAGUUUACAAAGGAGCGGUUUUCUUGUCAAUGCAUCUAAUUUUCCUUGUUGUGGUCCACCUAAGUAGAUGAUUAAUUAUGGUAAGUACUUCUGAUGAUUGAUUAUUGUUAACUUGUAAUAGCUUGAUUUUUUUUAAAGUACAAAUGUUUUGCUUUAUUUUAUAAUCUUACAACUAUACCUCUAAGAUAUUAUAGGGUUUAAAAGUUACAUUAUGUGCCAUCAAGCACUUCUAUUAUUGUUGAGUAGAUUGAUGAUUACUUGGCGUUUUCUGUACUUGUAGAGUUGCAUGUUUAAGAAGGUCUGACAAUGUCUGCCUUAAAUGUUGCAUCUUCAUUUUGAAAAUGGUAGUGCAUUUAAUAAGGUCCCAUGAUAAAUCCAAUGAAGUUGUACAAAAGUGUGCUAAGCUGCCAUUUUACACUUGAGAAAGCUUAGCUAUAAAAUACAGUGUGACUUGCUUGAAGCCACACAGCAAGUCUUUGAGAAAGCCAGAGUGAGUUUGGAUUUAUUCUUUCUAUCUUUUCUCUCAAAUAUAAGAGAUAUUUCUUGUUCCAAGUAAGGUAAAGCAUUUAGGGAGAAAUUGUCACGGUUGUAUACAGCAGAAAAGAAAGAGAUGAUGCAGUAGUGCACAUUAAUGAGUAUGUUUGCAUUUGCAAGUUAAGAUCAGUCAUGAAAAAUCUGAUCUUAAAUGAAAAUUUUAAUAAUUAUGUGCAUUUGAACAACUAUACAGCUUUAUUAUCUGAACUGUGGCAUUCUCUAAAAACACAUAAGUAUGCAUCUGCUUGAAAGAUUUCUAAUGUUGCUAUAUUAAAAUUCUUGUUAUCAAUAAAAAGAACCCUCUGGAAUAACAAACGAUUUUUCCAUAUGCAAAAAUCUUUAGAACUGUGUGGUCUAAAAAUGAGACAUUUCCAAAUAAAAUUGUGCUGUGCACAAGAAAUUGAGGGAAAAGUCCUUAAGGUGACUUUUAAAUGAAAAUGAAAUGUCUUUUAGUAAGUUUCAGAGGUACAAUAUUACAGACUGGUAGAAUUGUAUCUCAUUAAUUUCAAACAUAGAUUUUAUGUGAGGCUAUUUGAUUAUAAUUUGAUUAUCUGACCCUGUAAUUAAAGUUUAUUGCCAAUUUCAAAGCUUAUGUGUAAAAUGAACUGGUUUUCUUCAAAGCAAUAUACAAUCCAUUGGACUCAUUGACUUCUAGUUUUGCAUUUAAAUCGAAAAGUCUGUUAUAACAUGACAAACAGGUUCAGUUUUUGAUCAUUAAUCCUGCUAAGCAAUAUUCAUAAAUUCAAUUUUGAAUCAGUUGGAAUACUUUUCUUUUAUUAGUUUCUGUGUUAUUAAAUGAGAUUGUUUCUGACUAAUAUAUUUCCGGACUCAAACUGUAGCUCCAAGCUGUUAUUCAAAUCAAAUAACAUGCCCCUUACUUGUGCCUAGCACUAAUAAAUGCCAACUUGUGAUACAUUUGUGGGAGACUGUCACGAAUAUUAAAGGAGGCAAUAAUGCCACUAAUGUCUCAUAACUAAGCUUAUUUUUCUAAAGGGCUGAAAUCAGUCAUCCUACUGAGGAGGGCAACGGGGGAAGAACCUUUAAGACUUAAAGCCUAAAGCAUUAUUUUACUCUGCUAAACAUUAUUAUUGAGGAGGUAAAUGACCAAGAAAUUACCACUGAAGAGAAUGAAAAAUAAAGCGUGUAACUUCUGGUGCCACCCUGAGCAACAGAAAUGCAUCCACUGCUAAGCAUAUGCUCGUUCUCAUAAAAUUGCAUGUUCAUUGGUCUGGAGGCAUGUUUUUCUUCCUCUGAGUGUCUGAAUUAAAGAAAGGGGAGAAAAAAAAUCCCCCUUUUACUGUUAUUGUCAACCUCCUACUUCAGUCCUUUUGAGAUAUUCCUGGUAACGGUUCGGGGGUUUGGUGUAGAACACAAGUUUAACACGCUGACAUGAAAUCAUCUGACAGAUAAAUAGGAUUAACUUGUCUGAGAUGUCAUCCAGCAGCCUGGUGACUGGGGAGGCCGGGCUGGGGGUGUGACUGGGAUGCUGGAAACAGAAUGGGCCCAACCUGUGUGCCAGUGUGUGGGCACAAGGUCAGUGCUGAGACUCAGAUGUGACUAUUUUAACUGUUCUGCUUCUUCCUCUCUCAAAAUAUAACCCCAGCACCCCCCAAAAAUAAAUAAAUAAAUAGAAAUAAUGAUCUCAUAUUUCUGAUAUAGUUUAUCAGCGUUGGUAUCAUACAAAGUACCAAAAUCAUUGAUAAAUUGUAGCAAGGCAACUAAUGUAAUCGGGCUUAGUUGUCUUUUGUUUUUUUAAUGCUGAUUCCUACAUCAGUGAUGUAUUUAACUGGAAAGCAUGAAAGGUUGAGAUGAAAACUGUUGGUGUUUUGUGAUUGCCUUUAGUUCUUAUAGACUGUUCUGUUGAGCGCAGGGUUUACUCUAAUGUGAUUGAAUUAGCUAAUUCUGUGACCCCUGCAUGAUGUGUUUCAGAUAGGUAGCCUUUCCUCUGGACUUGCUGACUGCACAUCCUGGCUGAAUGCCCAUCAUACUGCCUUAUCUUGCUCUUGUGUCAGAGUUCAGGCUCUAACAGAUGGCACCAGGUCGAUGCUGAGUGAUACCUCUGGGGAGGUGAUGCUCUGCCCUAGCACUUGGCUUACCCAUUUUCAGUUUCUCAAAUGAAACAGAAACUAAUCAUGAUUUUUUUUAUCAUCAGAGUAAUUUCUCACUGGGCUACUCAGAGGUGAGCUGUGAGCUGGAGCUCUCAGAGCAGAUACUUGCUUAAAGUUUCCUGUAAUUUAGCCAAUAUACAUGUAUUUUAAUUCUGAAAUGUUUCCUAAUUUAACAAAUGUUAUCAGCCUCCCCAGAGAGAGAUUCAUGUAUCUUCUCUAUGUCAUUUAUUAUUUUUUUCUGAAGUACAGUUGAAUCCUUUGGUUUGAAAGCUUCUAAGUUAUUUUUAAAGUAAUAAGUUGUUAUUUGAACUUGUCAUUAUGCACAAAGUACUUAUUUCUUACAGUCAGCACUAGAAGAGAACAAGGGUUGUCGUAUGUACUUACAGCAUGUUAUGACCGAUGCUAACUCUGGAUGGUAUGAUGCAAAAGUGGUUUGAAGUAUGCUACUAUUUCCGUCUAUUUAUGUGUUGCUGUCAAAGCUUCCCAGUCACUUUGGUUAAUCCAUUCCAAGUGCCAGUAGUUAUCAUGAGCUCUACGCUGACUGCUAUGAUGUGAAACUUUGCAAUCUGUGCACCUCUGAUGUCAUCAGGAGCCACUGAUGUCAGAGCUGCUUCUGCAGAGCAUGAAGGUUGUCACAUUACAUCUGCAUGAAAGGUAUUGAUUUAAUCCAUCUGAUGGUAGGCCUGUUAGAAAUGUAAUUGUCCACUGAAAGGACAGGUGUGCAAAUGGACAUCCCAGCAAAAGGCAGCAGUCUUUCAAAGUAACGUUUUACAUUACUCAGAUCAUUCCUGCUUGUUUUCUUCCUCCAGUUGCCCUCAGCCUGAGCCUGUUAUUGAUAUAAAGGUUGAAGCUCAGGCAGCUUAACUGUUAUGUGGAAUGACCUUUACUUUUAAUAUUAAUAUAUUAUUGUAAAGUCUAUGAGACUCAUAAAUGCAAUUUUAGAAUUCAUAUGAAAUGCCAUGUGCUGAACCUAUUGCAACUUUUCCUCUAGUCCUGUGGCAGGUUGCAAACUAUGUGAAUUAAUAUGCAUCAUAUUCUUUCCCCUUUAUUUACUUAGAGAGGUUUGCCGAGCAACUUUAUCAAGAGUAACAUUAUCAAGAGCUUUCCUGCAAGCUUCUUUAUCAUAUUCACAUCCGUGUCUGCUCGACACUUGUCACUGUCAAUCAAAUCGCAAUAAUACGCAGAUGAUUUGCUCAUUUGGUUUAAUAAAAUCUCUCUGCUUAUUUGCACUGCAGUCAUUAUGCCACAUAAUUGCUCUGCCGCUGAGGUGAAAGGCAGCCAGUUGCCUGGGGGAUAAGAAGAGACUAUUGCUAUAUGAAGGAUUUGUUUCUUUUCCUCUGUCUCUCCCUAGUCACUCAUAUCCCUAAAAUUAAUAUUGUAUUUGAAUCCAGUCCUGCUAUUCUUAUGCAGGCUAACAUUGUUAUUACUUAUUAUUUGGAUGUGAAGUCAUUUAUUUUUAGUUUUGAUGUCCAAGCUGUCAAGCUAAAUUUCAUUGUGUUCUGCCACAUACAAUUUUUAACUGCCAUUUAAACUAGAUUCAGAACCCAAAUUAUGAAGAGAACAUGUUCAAAGGAAUGGGCUGACAGGAAGUAUAGCUACAAUUUCUAUUUCCUAGGAAAUCAAAGUAUAGAUCUUGUUAUUGUUCUGCGGUGGAAAUAUGUGCGGUUUUCGUACUUCAUAAUGGUUUCUGUAUUGGCUGGACACUGUGCUUCAGAAGCAGAAGAAAGGCAGCUAUGUAUGCAUAUUGGCAGCCCUAGAGGUGCAAAACAAAGGCAUCCAGUUCUGGAAAUGACAGAGCACAAAACCAGCUCAACUUACUGUUGUUAAUUUCAGAGUGAUUUGUACUCCAUUUUCCAGUAGCUUCUGCUGUGAUGGAUAAUGGGAGUGAAAAUGAGGAGUCUGUGUGUGUAACACAAGCCUCUGCUACUUCACUGCACACUUAAUAUAGCAGUAACUGCCAUAUGAUGACAAUCAUGAGCCCAUGUUUUGGGGAUGAUUCCAUCUCAGUGGCUUAAAAUAGGAGCCUUAAAUACUUUUCUCUGCAAAUGUAUUUCAAACAGAGAGUACUUAACAUUGAAAAUUAAACACCAGACUGAAUCUGCCUAUGAAAGAAUACAACCAUAUUUAAUCGGAGCUCUGUUGGCAUGUCAGAAGUAGUACUGAUAUUUUAAGGCAAUUGAACCUGAGAAUAUCAUCUCUAUUUGUGCAUUCCCAUUUGCCUUUGCUAGAGCAUUUGGUAUAUAGCUUGCAUUCUGUUUGAAUGAGCAUACCUAUGAAGGAGAUCAUCAUUUGACUGUGUAUCUUGGUCGAUCUAUACCAUUGUGGAAUGGAUUGAAAUUGUAUUAUCCAAGUAUGCUAUAGCUUGAAACUUCAGUUUCCGGGGGGAAACUGUAUUAUUGCUAUCAGCUCACCACUGGAAUCCAUGGUUGUUAUGGCAGGGUAAUCUGAAGAUACUCAAACACAAACUUAGGUGUCAGAAGCACAUUCCAGCCAGAUGCCAUUAUUAUUUGUUAUUUGAGUAGGCUGUUUGUACUAAAAUGAUGAUCUUGAAUACUCCUUUUCUACAGAAUAUAUAGCAGUGCAGAUUUAUUCUAACUCUCAUUCUCUCAUUAUUUUUCUUGAGUAACAGAAUGUUCAUCAAAGGAGGCUGGUAAAGGCAUACCAAUGUUCUACUUCCAUGACAUACUUUUCCUUUCAUAUUGUGUUCUGAGCCCAAAAGCUAGCUGUUCAUGUGGGUGACCAAGCACCGGAAUCAGAAAGUACAUUAAGGAAUAUUAAGAGAUAUCCAAAACCCAUCAGGAUGAGCUCCUGGGCAGUCUGAGAGGACCAUUUCCACUUGAUCCUUUGUGUGAGUCUGUAAUGCAAAGAUGCAGAUGUGCCAUACAAUCAUAAUCUUAAACUGCGUUUCCACCUGUAACAAAUUUUGUUAUGUAUGAUUCCUUGGUUAUUGUUGAUUAUUUUUUUGUUGCUUGCAACAUACAGAUCUACUUAGUUAAUUCUAGGUCUGCCUGAUUCUUUUCCUAUUGAAUAAAAUUGCACAGGAUAAAAUAUUUUCUGCUAGUAAAUAUUAAGUUUUAAAUCAGAUUGAUUUAUAUCCGUCACAGAAAACUUGAACACCAAACCCCUGAGACUGCUUUAAAUAAAACCUUUCCUUUGGAUUAAUCACAAGUGUCACUAAGAGAGGAAAGAAGGAGUUUCAUUUUCUUGUCCUUACGUGGCUGUUGAUCCUUUCUAAUCUCUAAUAUUAAGAAGAUCUUAAUUCUAAAAGAGCUUAUUUUGUCAUGCUGGCUGAUUUGGCUUUAUGAAAUGUGAUGAGCUUUUGGAAGAGAUGUUAACUAUUAUAUGCAUAAUGGUUUUCUCAGAUGGAAGCGUAGCUGCUGUGUUACUAUUGUUCUAAUGUUGGCUCACUUUCUUCUUUUUGUAUGUAGUCUCAAUAUUAUUGUUAUGUUCCUGUAUCAUUUCCUUGAUGAUAAGCUGGGGGGAGGGAAAACAAAACAAACCUUGUAAAAGCAUUUGUGUAUGUUUCCAAAAAAAUCAUUCUGACCUGUGGGGAAACUUGCACCGGGUCAUGUGCAACAGAAUAUACACAGCUUAACAAAUCCCUCCAUAUCUUACAGGCAAGAACUGUAUAAAAAUGUGAAACAUACCUGUGUAUUAAUGAUUUGUGUGAACAGAGGAUAAACUUUGGUAGACAGGACUUUCAGAGGUCCUGAAAGGAAAGAUUAAUUUGGAAUCAUAUGUUUUGUAAUGAAAUAAUGAAAAUUAAUUCAAUUAUGACAGUAGCUCUUGGUUUGGCUAUUUUCGCUUGGCUCCUUGACGUAUUUUAGCCAUUUGUUUUGCUAUAAAUUGGAAUCAAUAUAUAAAAGAACAUAGAGAAUACUGCAUCAGGGAACACUGUAUCCAGGAUUUUCAUAAGAAAGAGAUGAAUCUAAUAUUAUACCUGCUAUUAAUUAACAUUAGAUUUACUAUCUGGAAGAAGGUGUUUAAAAUUCUGCAAAAUGAGACAUAAUUAUCUUCUUAUAGUCUCUUUCUCGUGAUCUUCAUUUUCCAAAGGCAUUAAGGGACCUUAGAUUUGCAAAGUGGAAAUUAUUAAGUAUAAUUAAGCUGAAAGUUUUAUUUGAUAGAGGAAUUCUCAUGAUGUUUGGAAAUACUUGGUUUAAAUCUAAUCUCACUUCACACUCUUGCUAUUUAGAAUGAAAUAUGUAAUAAAAGGAAACCACAAACAGCCAAGCCAGGCUUCAAAACUGAAGUGACUCUACUUGUUCCUUUAAAAGAGAAGAAAAAAGUAACUUCUUAACACUGAUUGGUUCUGGUAACUAUCAAAGAGAUAGAAGAUAGGACUCAAUAAAAUGCAAAUCACAGCAACCUGAGGAAAUAAAAAGAACCAAAUGAGAAGUAAAAGCUUCAAGUAACCUGUGGGGAAAAAAAAAAAAAAAGGCUGCAGCUGGCAUGGAAAAAAAGUUAAAAGCAAAGUACAUAAAACAGACAUGGACAGGGAUGUUACAUUGAGAAUUUCUUGGCCAAAGUUCUUCACAGAUGAAAAAUCUCAACUGAUAUCCUUUUAAAGUUAGCAAAAUAUUGUCGAUACUUUUAAUUGGUCUAUAAUAACCACUCCUAAAACUGUGAACAUGUGACUGGUCAAAGCUGGUUGUAAAUAGUCAGAACUGGGCAAGCAGAAUGAAGUUUAUAUAUCUUGGUCAUUCUGUAGCAGAAGCAAAGAGAAGCCUUAUUUAGCUCUAGAUUGCUUACUAAUGAGCAGACAUUUGGUUUUCUACCUGUUAAUGUUUAUUAUUAUUAUUUUUUUUCUGAGGAUCUUCAUCAGUACCUGAAGAAAGAAAGAUUCAGAAUCCAAUUGCAUUUCUAAGAGAUCCACUCAUCUGAGCUUAUGUUCUCCUUGCUUCUCAUUGCAGGGGAUCCAUCUGCAGCAGAACCAAAAUGCUUCUGUACUUCCCCAUGCCACUCAUCAGCUCUGCUUACAUUGGCUAAACGUUUGAGAGCAAAACCAAAGAUGUAACAAAGUUCCUACAUGCCUGUUUCCAGUGGAAGUAUAACUGUAAACACACAUACUUCUACUUAAACAUCAGGAUGUGCAGGCUGCAGAGAGAUGCUAGGUUGGGUGUGAGUCUUUUAUUUCCCUUCACAUAAGUAUUUACAUCAAGUCCUAGCUCAGCUUUAGAAAGGGCUCAAUGUAGUAAUUGUUUUCUUUAUAUACUCUCUAUAGUAUUUCUGUUUAGUUUAAGCUAUACAUUUGAGUACAGAAAGCAUUCAAGAAAAUAAUAGAGGAGUGAUAGCUUCUUUCUUCCCAGUUCCAAGCUCUGAGAAAGGUAGUGUUGGCUGUAGUUUUUAUUUGGAGGGAAGAGCAGCAACCUUUCUCAUAAACCUUUCAUUUAUUGAACACAGAGGUGACCAAGCUUCCACAGCAGAGUACAUGAUGAGGCUAAGACUGGCUCAUGAAAGGGUGGGGUGAACCCUAAAGAGACAAGAUUUUAUGGCACGGGUUGAGAACAUGGGAUAUGAGGUGCUGCUAAAUGGCAUGCUGUGUAAUUAAGCACAUCUCCCUCUGCACAGAGAUUUACUAGAUGACAUGUUCAUAUCCUGCCUUUUCUUAUUCCCUUUGAAGCAAGCAGCCCAGUUGAGAUGUUGUUUUUCUACCCGAAGAGAAAGAUGGAAUAAACUUCUGAAUUCUAAUACUUGAGCUGUGAGCUUGAACUUGUCAGUGAUAGAUAUUCUUUCUUGCAUGUAGAGGGCAUUCUGCGUUAUUUCUCUAAAAAUUGGAUCUUGGUAAGUUUUAUAGAUUUAUUCUGGACAAAAAUGCUGUAAACCAUCUCAGUUUGGACCUGUGUGAGUUGGGAUAGGCAGACAUGAUCUUUGGGUAGCUGUUCAUAGCUGUUUCUCAUUGAACAUGAUAGCUUCCUUUGCAUAUUCAUGCUCACUCUUCACUUUACUCUUCAUAUUCAGUUCUUUGAUCAGUUAUAUGCUAAGUUUUUAAAAUAUGCAUCUUUUUAAAAUAACCAACCGCUUACAUACCUGCUUAAUAUGUCACUUUAUUCAGAAAGUAAUAAGAAGAUGAAAGGAGGAAAGUGACUUUUGUGUAAAAAUCUCACUCCAGGUGUGAGUGGAGGAAAAAAAACAUAGUCCUACUUCAUUAUGUCCUAUCUUUGAAAUUAUGCAGGUAUUUUUCAGUCAACAAAUUAAUUUUCAGCAGGAAAAUCACAGCUAUGAGUUGGUUGGGUUUUCACUCAUCGUAUCAUAGCGUUACAGCAAAAACUGGAGUUCAUAAUGGUAUUGUGGAAACUGCUGAUCAAAGGUUGUUUACAUGGGCUGUGUUCACUGAUUUGCCACGUUGUCUCAUACAGAUGCGCUCUAAUGACUAUUCUCUGCAGAAGUGAUUUUUCAAAAGGAUUCUUUAAUCUGAUUACUCUGUAAUCGUUGGUUAUUCUUGAGUGUUUACGUGCGUAUUUGCUUGAACGUAUGUUUCACACGAUUGUGAUGCAAAUAUGCCACAUAAGAGAGGCAUUUCAAGAACAAAAUUUUUAAAGGAAAUAACAGUUUACACUGUAACUAAUCAGCAUUUUUAAGAAUAGUUUUAAAAAUGGUUUUCAAAAUCUAAAAUGAGGAACUGUAGUUCAUCUGUAGAUAUAGAGAGGUAUGAAUUUCCACCAUCAGACAUAGCCUUCAAGCUAUGCUUUCUUCAGUGUAAUGUGGUCUUUAAUUAGUCAUCGAUAGCUAACGCUAUUCAGGAACAGCCAGUCUCCCCAGCAGUCAAAUCAACAGCCAUUCAAAUACCAAAGAGUCUGAAUAUUACAUACGUAUAUAUGUUUUUAUAUGAAGCAAGUCUAGGAAGAUAAAAGGCUUCCGAUGGGGAAAUAUAGUUCAUAUUUCUGACCCUCUAUUAGAAUAGUGAGUUUGCAGUUGAAAUCUUACACUGUUGUUGUUGACAGCACUGGGAUUCUUUAAUUCUACCCCAAAAACUAGAUAACAGAUUUUGAUGAUGCAGUUAGAACUGUUUCCUCUUAUCUCUUCCCCCAGGAAAAUACACUAUUAAAGGCAUUUUUAUGUAGGUGCAUCCAUUGCUACAUCUAUUCUAACAAUUUCAUUGUUAAAAAAAUGUUGGGAAAAAGUGAAAAAUGCCUUUAACUGACACUGCUGUAUUAAAAAAAGAAAAGUUUCCAGUGUGUGCUUGUCUUCCAGACAACGUCAGUGCCUGGUCUUUUUGGCAGGAACAUUUUCACAACUAAUUUGAUACAUAAAGGCAGUAUUUCUGUUAUGCCACUCUGCAGUUCCUUUGUACGUCUGGCCGGUCCCAUCGCCUAAUUGCCUAAAGCUGCCAACUGCAAAGUCCUCAGUUGGGUAUUCACACUUCAUUCCUCCUCCCCUGCAGCACUUUGCCUCGGUAAUGCUUGAGGUACUGCAAUGAAAAAACAUAGCAAGGAAGUUAUUGAUUGUGGGAAACUGAGAAUUUGUGUAUAGAUCACCAUUACUCUCUUCUCUUUGAAGAUGUAGGACAAGCUUUCAGAAGAAAAGAACGGUGUUUGAAGUACAGUAAUAGCUCAAGAAGUGCUCACCAUUACCUGAACUCUGUUGCCUUUACUCUUGAAGUUAAGUGGCCCUUGAAAUGGUAGAUUUCUAAUUAAACUUUAUUAACUUGGUAUUUUCGUUGUUCCACUUUGUUAUCAGGCUUUUCUUGUGCUGAACUAAAUCUGUGUGAAAACGAGAGAAAUGCUACACUUUUAAAAUCCAAAUGGAUUUCCAUUUCUUCCUGUGGAUGGACAGCUGCCACUGAACUCUAUGAAAUAACCUCCGAUCUACUGACUUCUUCCUACAAGAAGAUGCGCCCUUUCCACAUUCAGCAUUCAGUAAUUAAACACUGAUCAGUGUGUCAAAUAAGGCGAUGCUUUGUGUAACGUACUUAUCCUCAGCCCUGCCCUCUCCUUAUCAGCCAAGCCUUAUCAUCGCUCAGCCGCCCCGUAGAUCUCAAUACACGCCUACAGCAGCCGCAGAGCGCCACCUAGCGGUGUAUCAGCAGAGACACAGGUAGGAGCCGGGCAGUUUCAGCCUUUGGGUUAGAAUAUGUGGUUUUGGGGUAUAUGAGGCUACGUAGCGUGGAAAAUCGUGCCUUUUUCCUAUGCUAAUUUGAAGGCUUUAUUAUUAUUAUUUGUAAUAUAUAAUUUAAAUAAAAAUUCCUCGCUGUAUUUUA